CGUAUCACUUAAAGCGAUUCAGCGGGUUACGACUGACGGAGCGAAGCGACGUCAAAGCGUAUACAAAGUCGAGUCGGUUUAAGGAUACGUUCGUUGGGUAGGGGAGCGUUCUGUAAGCCUGCGAAGGUGGCCUGUGAGGGUUGCUGGAGGUAUCAGAAGUGCGAAUGCUGACAUAAGUAACGAUAAAGCGGGUGAAAAGCCCGCUCGCCGGAAGACCAAGGGUUCCUGUCCAACGUUAAUCGGGGCAGGGUGAGUCGACCCCUAAGGCGAGGCCGAAAGGCGUAGUCGAUGGGAAACGGGUUAAUAUUCCCGUACUUGGUGUUACUGCGAAGGGGGGACGGAGAAGGCUAUGUUGGCCGGGCGACGGUUGUCCCGGUUUAAGCGGGUAGGUGUGUGUUCCAGGUAAAUCCGGUUCACUUUAACACUGAGGCGUGACGACGAGGCACUACGGUGCUGAAGCAACAAAUGCCCUGCUUCCAGGAAAAGCCUCUAAGCAUCAGGUAACAUCAAAUCGUACCCCAAACCGACACAGGUGGUCAGGUAGAGAAUACCAAGGCGCUUGAGAGAACUCGGGUGAAGGAACUAGGCAAAAUGGUGCCGUAACUUCGGGAGAAGGCACGCUGACACGUAGGUGAAGUGGUUUACUCACGGAGCUGAAGUCAGUCGAAGAUACCAGCUGGCUGCAACUGUUUAUUAAAAACACAGCACUGUGCAAACACGAAAGUGGACGUAUACGGUGUGACGCCUGCCCGGUGCCGGAAGGUUAAUUGAUGGGGUCAGCGCAAGCGAAGCUCCUGAUCGAAGCCCCGGUAAACGGCGGCCGUAACUAUAACGGUCCUAAGGUAGCGAAAUUCCUUGUCGGGUAAGUUCCGACCUGCACGAAUGGCGUAAUGAUGGCCAGGCUGUCUCCACCCGAGACUCAGUGAAAUUGAACUCGCUGUGAAGAUGCAGUGUACCCGCGGCAAGACGGAAAGACCCCGUGAACCUUUACUAUAGCUUGACACUGAACAUUGAGCCUUGAUGUGUAGGAUAGGUGGGAGGCUUUGAAGUGUGGACGCCAGUCUGCAUGGAGCCGACCUUGAAAUACCACCCUUUAAUGUUUGAUGUUCUAACGUGGACCCGUUACCCGGGUUGCGGACAGUGUCUGGUGGGUAGUUUGACUGGGGCGGUCUCCUCCUAAAGAGUAACGGAGGAGCACGAAGGUUGGCUAAUCCUGGUCGGACAUCAGGAGGUUAGUGCAAUGGCAUAAGCCAGCUUGACUGCGAGCGUGACGGCGCGAGCAGGUGCGAAAGCAGGUCAUAGUGAUCCGGUGGUUCUGAAUGGAAGGGCCAUCGCUCAACGGAUAAAAGGUACUCCGGGGAUAACAGGCUGAUACCGCCCAAGAGUUCAUAUCGACGGCGGUGUUUGGCACCUCGAUGUCGGCUCAUCACAUCCUGGGGCUGAAGUAGGUCCCAAGGGUAUGGCUGUUCGCCAUUUAAAGUGGUACGCGAGCUGGGUUUAGAACGUCGUGAGACAGUUCGGUCCCUAUCUGCCGUGGGCGCUGGAGAACUGAGGGGGGCUGCUCCUAGUACGAGAGGACCGGAGUGGACGCAUCACUGGUGUUCGGGUUGUCAUGCCAAUGGCACUGCCCGGUAGCUAAAUGCGGAAGAGAUAAGUGCUGAAAGCAUCUAAGCACGAAACUUGCCCCGA
rnacentral:rRNA from 2 species